ensembl:lncRNA
GGAUCCUUUAACCACUGUGCCAACUGGGGAUUGAACCUGCAUCCUGGCACUGCAGAGAUGCUGUCAAUUCUUUGUGCCACAGUGGGAACUCCUGCUUUCUAAAUUGUCUUUAAGCUAUUUGUUAAUUCUAUGGAACCAGACUAUUCAAACUCUCCACCAAAUCUUCAAUCCACCAACAGCAUCAGAUGGAAUUCCUGAGUCCUGCUUCAGCCAUAGAAGAAAGCUCCCUGAGACCAGGGCACUGCUCAGCAAUGCAUGGCCAGUCACAGGAAGAACCACACCUGGGUACCUUCACAUCAUGGAUUUUCCAGGGUCCACACCGUCCAGCUGACACGACGGCUCAUGACAAAUUCGGCCACUCAUAUCCCCAGGAUAAUUCCUGUUGAGGCAGAUGAGCCCCUGAGUCCCUGGAAGAGAAGGACCAAGUGGAGGAGGCACGUCCACAAAGAAGUGUGGUGAAAAGAACGCUGGCUCCACAUUAAAAAGGAUGAAACGGUGCCAUUUGUAGCAACAUGGAUGGACCUAGAAAUGAUCAAGUUUAGUGAAGUAAGCCAGACAAAGACAAAUACUAUAUGCUAUGGCUUAUAUGUGGAGUCUAAAAAAUAAUACGAGUGAACCAGUAUGCAAAACAGAAAUAGACUCACAGAUAUAAAAAACAAACUUAUGUUACCAAAGGGGAAAGGGAAGGAGGAAGAGGGAACUGGGAGCAUGGGAUUCACAGAUACAAACUACUAUACAUAAAACAUAUAAGCGACAGGAUUUACUGCACAGUGCAGAGAACUAUAUUCAAUAUCUUUUAAUAACCUACAAUGGAAAAUCAUCUAAAAUACAUAUAAAUAACUGAAUCAUUUUUCCGUACACCUGAACUAAAACAAUAUUGUAAAACAACUAUAUUUCAGUUAAAGAAAAGAAAAAAAAGGAAUUCCCUCUGUGGUGCAACAGGAUCUGCGGCAUCCUGGGAGCACUGGGACGCAGAUUCGAUCCCCUGCCCAGCACAGUAGGUUAAGGAUCUGGCGUUGUGGCAGCUGCGGCUUGGGUCAUAACUGCGCCUCGGGUCUGAUUCCUGGCCUGAGAACUCCACAUGCUGUGGGGCAGUCAGACUGCCUCGGCUUCUAUCUCAGCUCCAGUUCCACCCUUACAGGAAGCAUGAUCUUGGGUCCUUAAAUUCACUAUGUUUCCUUUUCUUCCUGGAUAAAAUAAUGAUAAUAUCACUUACCUGC